rnacentral:lncRNA from 1 species
AUUUCUAGUAAUCAUUUCAGCAGAAUUGAUCACAUGCUCUGCCGAGGAAUUUCAAAUCCGCUUUAUGUUCGGACUACUGAAUAAUGACCACUUCCUCUACAGUGAAGAUCCAUAAUCUCACAACAUAAACUAAUAUUUAAAUUUCUUUUUAGAAAAAAGCAAUUUUUUAAUAGGCAACAGUAUAAGGUAUAUUUAAUAACAUAAAUGGCGGCAGGAAUAAUUUUUUAUAAAAACUAGGACAUUUCUUUUUCAUGUUACAUCUGUGGGAACCCAUCAUUUGUGUGGUUGUUGUUGAGUGUGUAUGUUACAUUAAUUGUAACAUAGCAUUGCCUACAUCUGUUACUUUAAAAAUUAUAAUCAAGCUAAGAUUAGUGAUACCAUCUCUCUGGUUCAAACUUUCUUUACAGUACAAAAACCAAUCUCUCUUAUGUCCUCCCUUGGCUCCAUCUAUAACAUCUGCAGAUAAUUUUUACUCUUUUA